GUGACUGGGACAGGAUGUGACAUCAACGAGGCGGGGGAAUUGAACUCGCAGGAAAUUCCAUCCCGAUGGGCCGCGGCGGUGGGGGGCUCCAGGCCCCUGGGAUUGGGGACCUGGACUCAGGCAGCCAGCGCUGGGACCGGGCCCUGGGUGCUAGGAGUGGACCGCAGAGUGGGAGGGCCUGGCCGGAGGGCGGCACCUCCAGGAGGGAGGGACAGAGAGCAGGCCCCGCCCUCAGGGCCAUGUUUGCUGGAGCUGCUGAGGCUCGGACCCAGGACCGAUGCUGCAGGGCAGUCCUUCCAGGUGAGCUCCCAGCGGGAGGCCAAGUCUUCCUACCACGGGAGCUGGUCCUGGGACCCACUUUCCAGGGGAGGAACCCCCAACCACCUUCACUUCUCAUGUCUGUCCCGCAAAUUAGCUCCAUGAGGAAAAGCGCUGACAGCUGGAGGCUCCCCCGGCCACAGGAGGCACAGCUGUGGGUGACGUGGUCCCGUGUCCUCGGUCACAGAUCUGCAAUUUGUAACCACAAUCGAAAGAAAUAAUGAUAUAUGAUACCCCAAACCACUGAAUGGCACACUUUCAAGGGGCGGAUUGUAAGCCGGCUUUCCCAUCUGGGGAGCCAUGGAGCGCCUCAGAGUGGCAGCUCCGUGGGGAGGUGAGUGCGGAGCCCAGGCCCAGGGGUUCGGCCUGUCGGGCAGCAGCCCUGUCCCUUCAGGCCAGCCCUGAGCCCCUGAGCUGUGCUGGGACGUGGCCCAGUGAGUACAGAGCCAUCGGGCACCGCUCUGCUCGUCAGCUGGUACAUCGGGUCCCAGCUCCCCCGACCCCCCCUCCUGCUGUCCUCCUGGAGGGAGCCGGCCGCUGACUCAGGGAGCCGCCAUGGAUGGGCUUCCUGCUGCUUUAAGAAGCCUCCUUCCUCGCCAGCCUCAUUAUAAUGUGACAGAGCAGUUGCCAAGGUAACGGCACUAACCCUCCUCUCUCCUCUCUGCAAAUUUCCUAGCAAAUGAGGCCGGACCCACGCGAGGUGUCCUGCGGCCUGUGCUUGGAGCGGCGGCUGCCCGGCCUCCCCUCC